AUCACUUAGGAUAUCUUAUUAAAAUGCAGAUUUUGAUUUAAUAAGCCUGAAGUGGGAGCUGAGAUUCUGCAUUUCUAAAAAGUUCCCAGGUGAUGCCCA
rfam:Pongo abelii chromosome 15.